rnacentral:rRNA from 1 species
GACGAACGCUGGCGGCGUGCCUAACACAUGCAAGUCGAGCGGAGUCGAUCGACGGAAGCCUUCGGGCGGAAGAUGGUUGACUUAGCGGCGGAUGGGUGAGUAACGCGUGGGCAACCUGCCUCGAAGACCGGGAUAACAGCCCGAAAGGGCUGCUAAUACCGGAUGUGGUCAAAGAUCCGCAUGGAUUUUUGAUUAAAGGGGAAACCCGUUUCGAGAUGGGCCCGCGUCCUAUCAGCUAGUUGGUGAGGUAAAAGCUCACCAAGGCGACGACGGGUAGCCGGCCUGAGAGGGUGACCGGCCACACUGGAACUGAGACACGGUCCAGACUCCUACGGGGGGCAGCAGUGGGGAAUCUUCCACAAUGGGCGAAAGCCUGAUGGAGCGACGCCGCGUGAGCGAAGAAGGCCUCGGUUGUAAAGCUCUGUCUGGAGGGACGAAGGAAGUGACGGUACCUCCGGAGGAAGCCACGGCUAACUACGUGCCAGCAGCCGCGGUAAAGUACUCUAU